CUUGGUCAUUUAGAGGAAGUAAAAGUCGUAACAAGGUUUCCGUAGGUGAACCUGCGGAAGGAUCAUUACAGAGAAAAUGCCCUUUGGGUAUAUCUCCCACCCUUUGUUUACAUUACUUUUGUUGCUUUGGUGGGCCUGUCCUUGGGCAGCUGGCCUCGAAGCUAGUCUGUGCCCACCAAAGGACUACAACUCUUAUUUUAUGUUGUCCGAGUACUAUAAAAUAGUUAAAACUUUCAACAACGGAUCUCUUGGUUCUGGCAUCGAUGAAGAACGCAGCGAAAUGUGAUAAGUAAUGUGAAUUGCAGAAUUCAGUGAAUCAUCGAAUCUUUGAACGCACAUUGCACCCUCUGGUAUUCCAGGGGGUAUGCCUGUUCGAGCGUCAUUGCAACCCCUCAAGCACUGCUUGGUAUUGGAUGGCACUAUUUUUUGUGCAUCUCAAAAGCAUUGGCAGCAGCACCUAGUCUCUAGUGUAGUAAAUUUCUCGCUAUGGGUCUAGGUGUCUGGCUGCCAGAACCCCUAGUUUUUCUACAAGGUUGACUCGGAUCAGGUAGGGAUACCCGCUGAACUUAAGCAUAUCAAUAAGCGGAGGAAAAGAACCCACAGGGAUUGCUUAGUAACGGCGAGUGAAGCGGCAACAGCUCAAUUUGAAAUCUGCCCUCACGCCCGAGUUGUAAUUUGUAGAGGAUGCUUCGAGCAUGGUCUGGUCUAAGUUCCUUGGAACAGGACGUCAUAGAGGGUGAGAAUUCCCGUAUGCGACUAGGUGCCUAAGCUCAUGUGAAGCUCCUUCGACGAGUCGAGUUGUUUGGGAAUGCAGCUCAAAAUGGGUGGUAAAUUUCAUCUAAAGCUAAAUACUGGCCAGAGACCGAUAGCGCACAAGUAGAGUGAUCGAAAGAUGAAAAGCACUUUGGAAAGAGAGUUAAACAGUACGUGAAAUUGUUGAAAGGGAAGCGCUUGCAACCAGACUUGCAUGCAGUCGAUCAUCCAGUGUUCUCACCGGUGCACUUGAUUGCAUUCAGGCCAGCAUCGGUUUUGGUGGUUGGAUAAAGGCCUAGGGAAUGUAGCUCCUCUUGGGGAGUGUUAUAGCCCUAGGUGCAAUGCGACCUACUGGGACCGAGGACCGCGCUUUGGCUAGGAUGCUGGCGUAAUGGUUGUAAGCGACCCGUCUUGAAACACGGACC
rnacentral:rRNA from 1 species